UACGAGGGGUCCUAGCGUUGUUCGGAAUCAUUGGGCGUAAAGGGUGUGUAGGUGGCUAUGUAAGUCAGGUGUGAAAGCCCCCGGGCUCAACCCGGGAAGUGCAUCUGAUACUGCGUAGCUUGAGUACCGAAGAGGAUAGUGGAAUUCCAGGUGUAGUGGUGAAAUACGUAGAUAUCUGGAGGAACACCGGUGGCGAAGGCGGCUAUCUGGUCGAGUACUGACACUGAGACACGAAAGCGUGGGUAGCAAACAGG
rnacentral:rRNA from 1 species